rnacentral:tRNA from 1 species
GGGUGCGUAGCUCAGCGGAAGAGCACCGUGUUCACACCGCGGGGGUCGCAGGUUCGAACCCUGCCGCACCCACCA